GGCGGUUCUUGGGUGACACACCCUGGAAUUGGACUCCCUCCUCUCUGGUCCUGGUGCAUCACCCAAGAAUCACA
rfam:Myotis lucifugus cont2.21426, whole genome shotgun sequence.